rnacentral:rRNA from 1 species
AUUGAACGCUGGCGGCAGGCUUAACACAUGCAAGUCGAGCGGGGUGAUGGUGCUUGCACUAUCACUUAGCGGCGGACGGGUGAGUAAUGCUUAGGAAUCUGCCUAUUAGUGGGGGACAACAUCUCGAAAGGGAUGCUAAUACCGCAUACGUCCUACGGGAGAAAGCAGGGGAUCACUUGUGACCUUGCGCUAAUAGAUGAGCCUAAGUCGGAUUAGCUAGUUGGUGGGGUAAAGGCCUACCAAGGCGACGAUCUGUAGCGGGUCAGAGAGGAUGAUCCGCCACACUGGGACUGAGACACGGCCCAGACUCCGACGGGAGGCAGCAGUGGGGAAUAUUGGGCAAUGGGGGGAACCCUGAUCCAGCCAUGCCGCGUGUGUGAAGAAGGCCUUAUGGUUGUAAAGCACUUUAAGCGAGGAGGAGGCUCUUUUGGUUAAUACCCAAGAUGAGUGGACGUUACUCGCAGAAUAAGCACCGGCUAACUCUGUGCCAGCCGCCGCGGUAA